rnacentral:rRNA from 1 species
GGCCUACCAAGGCGACGAUCAGUAGCCGACCUGAGAGGGUGACCGGCCACAUUGGGACUGAGACACGGCCCAAACUCCUACGGGAGGCAGCAGUGGGGAAUAUUGCACAAUGGGGGAAACCCUGAUGCAGCGACGCCGCGUGAAGGAAGAAGUAUUUCGGUAUGUAAACUUCUAUCAGCAGGGAAGAAAAUGACGGUACCUGAGUAAGAAGCCCCGGCUAAAUACGUGCCAGCAGCCGCGGUAAUACGUAUGGUGCAAGCGUUAUCCGGAUUUACUGGGUGUAAAGGGAGCGUAGACGGAUAGGCAAGUCUGGAGUGAAAACCCAGGGCUCAACCCUGGGACUGCUUUGGAAACUGCAGAUCUGGAGUGCCGGAGAGGUAAGCGGAAUUCCUAGUGUAGCGGUGAAAUGCGUAGAUAUUAGGAGGAACACCAGUGGCGAAGGCGGCUUACUGGACGGUGACUGACGUUGAGGCUCGAAAGCGUGGGGAGCAAACAGGAUUAGAUACCCUGGUAGUCCACGCCGU